rnacentral:rRNA from 1 species
CAUGUCUAUAUGGUUGUUAUAUAAAGUCUAGCCUGCCCACUGAUUUAGUUUAAAGGGCCGCGGUAUAUUGACCGUGCGAAGGUAGCAUAAUCAUUAGUCUUUUAAUUGAAGGCUUGUAUGAAUGGUUGGACAAAAAGUAAGCUGUCUCAAUUAUAAUAAUUGAAUUUAACUUUUAAGUGAAAAGGCUUAAAUAAAUUAAGGGGACGAUAAGACCCUAUAAAGCUUGACAAUAAUUUAAUUAUACUAUCAAUUGUUAGUAUAACUUGGUUUUAAUUGAUAUUUGUUGCGUUGGGGCGACGAGAAUAUAAUAGGUAACUGUUCUUAAAUAUUUAAUAACAAAUAUAAUUGGAAAUUAGUAUGAUCCUCUAUUAGCGAUUAAAAGAUUAAGUUACUUUAGGGAUAACAGCGUAAUCUUCUUUGAGAGUCCCUAUCGACAAGAAGGUUUGCGACCUCGAUGUUGAAUUAAGGUAUCCUUAUGAUGCAG